rnacentral:misc_RNA from 1 species
AUCAGGCAAUCAGCUUAAGCUUAUUGGAGUCUAAAUAGGGUUCAGUGCAUUGGGUGAGUCCAGAAAAUCUGUGAAAAACUCCAACAAAUAGCUGUCCUUUUUGAGAUAAUGAAUAAUGAGAAAUUUACCAGGCAAAAGCAUUGACAAAUGGAAAAAAUUUAUCAUUAUUUUAUUCAAGGCAUGGAAGCAAAGCAUCUUAAAUGUGAUGCAGCAUAAUGAUAGAGAAGAUCA